CCUAUGGUAUCAGGUAGGAAGAGAACUAAAGACACCAGUGGGCUUGAAGCAUCACCUCACACAGUCCAUGCUAGACCUCUAGCAAAACGUCUGACAGUAGGAGCACCUGGAAGAAGGCUUGCUUUCUCAACCAGGGAGGAACCGCACACAGACUGUCCUCGUCAGCCACCGCUGUUAGAGUUGACCAAUCUCGAGCAGUUUUCUUCUGUUGACGGUUCAGAAGGUGUUGCAAGAGAUAUUUCCAAGCCUGGUUCGACUGAAACAGUUAUGAUCACAGUGAGCUCACCCAGUACAGUGACUGCGGAAGUAGAUGAAAGUCUCCAGAAAUUACGCCAGGCACUGAAUAGUGGCAACAUUCAGUCUAUUGCCAAGGCAGCAU